rnacentral:lncRNA from 1 species
AUCCCCUUAUAGCUUGAAGAUGGACCUCAUCUGAUCAAUCUGAGAUGUGCACCAAGUAAAUGGAGUAUCUUCUGAUUCAUUACUUCCUUAGGCUUGCUUUUUCAGGUCUGUUUAGUUUAGAGGCAUGAAACACUGGUUUUCCCACAUCCUAUUAUGGAGCUUUUUCUUCAUCCCAGGAAAAAUUUUGGAUAAUGGAGCUUGAGCUUUUUUUUGGACUACUUCCAGGGAAAAAUCCAUACAUAUUCAACUAUGACUCAUCUAGGAAGCUUAUCAUCUUUCUAUGUUAGGACAGAAUGAUCUGAUGCAUUUCUGCCUUGCCCUGAACUGAACAUCUUAACAUGGUGGUAAGAAAGGUGACUUCUGAACCUAUUUCCAGGUUUUGUUUCUGAUCAGAGGUUUUUCUUCUGAUUCAUUACUUCCUUAGGCUUGCUUUUUCAGGUCUGUUUAGUUUAGAGGCAUGAAACACUGGUUUUCCCACAUCCUAUUAUGGAGCUUUUUCUUCAUCCCAGGAAAAAUUUUGGAUAAUGGAGCUUGAGCUUUUUUUUGGACUACUUCCAGGGAAAAAUCCAUA